CCUACGGGAGGCAGCAGUGAGGAAUAUUGGUCAAUGGGCGAGAGCCUGAACCAGCCAAGUCGCGUGAAGGAUGAAGGAUCUAUGGUUUGUAAACUUCUUUUAUAUGGGAAUAAAGUGAGGAACGUGUUCCUGUUUGUAUGUACCAUAUGAGUAAGCAUCGGCUAACUCCGUGCCAGCAGCCGCGGUAAUACGGAGGAUGCGAGCGUUAUCCGGCUUUACUGGGUGUAAAGGGUGCGCAGGUGGUUAAUUAAGUCAGCGGUGAAAGUUUGUGGCUCAACCAUAAGAUUGCCGUUGAAACUGGUUGACUUGAGUAUAGUAGAGGUAGGCGGAAUGCGUGGUGUAGCGGUGAAAUGCAUAGAUAUCCCGCAGAACACCGAUUGCGAAGGCAGCUUACUAGACUAUAACUGACGCUGAGGCACGAAAGCGUGGGGAUCAAACAGGAUUAGAUACCCGAGUAGUC
rnacentral:rRNA from 1 species